GCUGGGCAUGAUGACAUGUGCCUGUAGUCCUAGCUACUUGGGAGCCUGAGGCAGGAGGAUCGCUUGAGUCCAGGAGUUCAAGGCUGCAGUGAGCUAUGAUUGCACCACUGCACUCCAGCCUGGAGGACAGAGCCAGACCCUGCCUCUU
rnacentral:SRP_RNA from 1 species